GAUCAUGCUCAGGACGAACGCUGGCGGCGUGCUUAACACAUGCAAGUCGAACGAGAAUCUGUGGAACGAGGAUUCGUCCAAGUGAAGCAGAGGACAGUGGCGGACGGGUGAGUAACGCGUGAGGAACCUGCCUUUCAGAGGGGGGACAACAGUUGGAAACGACUGCUAAUACCGCAUGACACAUAGAUGUCGCAUGGCAUUUAUGUCAAAGAUUUAUCGCUGAAAG
rnacentral:rRNA from 1 species